UGAGUACGAGAUGCUACGGCAUCGAAGCAGUCUAUGUCAUACUUCCAAGAAAAGCUUGCAAUGUCAUAAACAAAUAAUGCCUGUACCAUAACCGACACAGGUGGGUAGGUAGAGUAUACUAAGGGGCGCGGGAUAACUCUCUCUAAGGAACUCGGCAAAAUGACUCCGUAACUUCGGGAGAAGGAGUGCCUUAUUUUUAUAAGGUUGCAAUAACAAGAUCCAAGCAACUGUUUACCAAAAACACAGGUCUCCGCUAAGUCGUAAGACGAUGUAUGGGGGCUGACGCCUGCCCAGUGCCAGAAGGUUAAAGAAGUUGGUUAGCAUUAGCGAAGCUGAUAACUGAAGCCCUGGUGAACGGCGGCCGUAACAAUAACGGUCCUAAGGUAGCGAAAUUCCUUGUCGGGUAAGUUCCGACCCGCACGAAAGGCGUAAUGAUUUGGAUACUGUCUCGGAGAGGGGCUCGGUGAAAUAGACUUGUCUGUGAAGAUGCGGACUACCUGCACCUGGACAGAAAGACCCUAUGAAGCUUUACUGUAACUUGAGAUUGAAAUUGGACUUUAUCUGCCAGUAUAGGUGGGAGACGUUGAAAAUAUUCUUGCGGGAAUAUUGGAGUCAUCAGUGAGAUACCACUCUUAUAAUGUUAGAUUUCUAACUUUGUAUCAUUAUCUGGUCAAAGAACAGUUUCAGGCGGGCAGUUUGACUGGGGCGGUCGCCUCCCAAACGGUAACGGAGGCGCACAAAGGUUUCCUCUGAACGUGUAGAAAUCGUAUCUAGAGUGUAAAGGCAUAAGGAAGCUUGACUGUGAGACCUACAAGUCGAGCAGGGACGAAAGUCGGUCUUAGUGAUCUGACGGUGCUGAGUGGAAAGGCCGUCACUCAACGGAUAAAAGUUACUCUAGGAUAACAGGCUGAUCUCCCCCAAGAGUUCACAUCGACGGGGAGGUUUGGCACCUCGAUGUCGGCUCAUCGCAUCCUGGGGCGGUAGUACGUCCCAAGGGUUGGGCUGUUCGCCCAUGAAAGCGGUACGCGAGCUGGGUUCAGAACGUCGUGAGACAGUUCGGUCCAUAUCCGGUGUAGGCGUUAGAAUAUUGAGAGGAGCCUUCUUUAGUACGAGAGGACCGAGAAGGACAUACCUCUGGUGUACCAGUUAUCGUGCCAACGGUAAACGCUGGGUAGCCAUGUAUGGAGAGGAUAACCGCUGAAAGCAUCUAAGUGGGAAGCCCACCUC
rnacentral:rRNA from 1 species